rnacentral:rRNA from 1 species
GGGGAUAACACUUGGAAACAGGUGCUAAUACCGUAUAACACUAUUUUCCGCAUGGAAGAAAGUUGAAAGGCGCUUUUGCGUCACUGAUGGAUGGACCCGCGGUGCAUUAGCUAGUUGGUGAGGUAACGGCUCACCAAGGCCACGAUGCAUAGCCGACCUGAGAGGGUGAUCGGCCACACUGGGACUGAGACACGGCCCAGACUCCUACGGGAGGCAGCAGUAGGGAAUCUUCGGCAAUGGACGAAAGUCUGACCGAGCAACGCCGCGUGAGUGAAGAAGGUUUUCGGAUCGUAAAACUCUGUUGUUAGAGAAGAACAAGGAUGAGAGUAGAACGUUCAUCCCUUGACGGUAUCUAACCAAAAAGCCACGGCUAACUACGUGCCAGCAGCCGCGGUAAUACGUAGGUGGCAAGCGUUGUCCGGAUUUAUUGGGCGUAAAGCGAGCGCAGGCGGUUUCUUAAGUCUGAUGUGAAAGCCCCCGGCUCAACCGGGGAGGGUCAUUGGAAACUGGGAGACUUGAGUGCAGAAGAGGAGAGUGGAAUUCCAUGUGUAGCGGUGAAAUGCGUAGAUAUAUGGAGGAACACCAGUGGCGAAGGCGGCUCUCUGGUCUGUAACUGACGCUGAGGCUCGAAAGCGUGGGGAGCGAACAGGAUUAGAUACCCU